rnacentral:rRNA from 1 species
GGGGAAUAUUGGACAAUGGGCGCAAGCCUGAUCCAGCAAUGCCGCGUGUGUGAAGAAGGCCUUCGGGUUGUAAAGCACUUUCAGUAGGGAGGAAAAGCU